GGGUGCGAUCAUACCAGCGUUAAUGCACCGGAUCCCAUCAGAACUCCAUAGUUAAGCGUGCUUGGGCCAGAGUAGUACUGGGAUGGGUGACCUCCCGGGAAGUCCUGGUGUUGCACCCU
rnacentral:rRNA from 1 species